rnacentral:rRNA from 1 species
UACGGGGGGAGCAAGCGUUGUUCGGAUUUACUGGGCGUAAAGGGCGCGUAGGCGGCCACCGCAAGUCGACUGUGAAAUCUCCGGGCUUAACUCGGAAAGGUCAGCCGAUACUGCGGGGCUAGAGUGCAGAAGGGGCAACUGGAAUUCUCGGUGUAGCGGUGAAAUGCGCAGAUAUCAGGAGGAACACCGGUGGCGAAGGCGGGUCUCUGGGCCGAUACUGACGCUGAGGAGCGAAAGCGUGGGGAGCGAACAGG